rnacentral:lncRNA from 1 species
GCCUUCCUGUGUAAGUUAAAAUCACAACCAUGACCAGUGCACAAAUUGUCAACUGGCGACAUUCCAAAAGCUGCUGCACUUGUGUCCAUGGGAAAAUGUGUUCCAAUGUCAAAACAGUACUGGGCUCCCCAGACAGUUUUCAAAGGUCUAGUUAACCCAGGGUGGUCAAGCUCUGCUGAUGCCAGCCCUUGCUUCCAGGUUCCCAGGGAACGCAUGAAGGUAAAGACUCUGGGGAGUAUGGGAACAUGGAAAUGGCAUAAAUGGGAGUCCCAAGACCCAUAUCUCCCACACCCUCCCCAGCACCAGGCUCCCAGUACUCCUGAAAGCAGCCCCACGCUCCACAGCCUGGCUCUACUUCAACUUAGGAGCAGGAAGCCCAAAUAGUAAGCAGGAAGCUACCAAAUGAAUCUUUUGGCAAACAAGACAGAACAAUGCACAUCUCCAACGAUGCACAGGGAAGCCAGAAAAGAGGAAGUGACGGGACAUCAGCAAACCAGAGCCAAGGCGGCUCACCAAGAAAGCAGGUGAUUAUACUAAAAGCCACUGAUUAUACACUUUGGAUAGAUGGCAUGGUAUAUGACUCUAUCUCAAUAAAACUGCUAAAUAAAUAAGUAAUUGUACAAGAAUAGCCAGAAAUGGCACGUAUAUACAGCACGGGAAGUAGAGAGACACGGAGAGGUGAAGAAUUUGUUAGUUUGCCUGUUUUUUGCUUAUUAUUGAAAUAAUGAAAAUUCUCUAAUGAGUGAAGUGAUGAAUGCACAACUAUGUGAUUAUACCAAAUACCUCUGAUUGUACAUUUUAUUAAUAUGUAUCAGGAAAACUGAUUUUCAGAAAAGAAAAAGGAAAGGAAAACAGGGACAAGUAUAGGUAGACCUAUAAAGCAAUCAGGUGUCCAAAAUCUAAGAGAUUCCAUGGACGCUGAGAAAAAAACUUUAGUCCCAGCUUUUAGAAAAUCAGUUCUUGGCAAGACAUCCCCACCAACC